AUGAACCGCUUUUUUCACUUGCCCGUGGCAUAGUGGGUAAUUUCUGUCAAACUCGAUUAAUCUACCCCAUAAUAACUCGGUCCCGUUAGAUUAACGGCUCCUGAUUACUGAUUAACGUAGUAGUUUCUAGGGAGUCACAAAUUAGUAUAGGUAUACAUAGAUAGAUAGAUAGAUAUAGAUAGAUAGAUUCCACCCAAGCAUGAUAUUAAUCAAUCUCUGAAAGCUAUGAGAAUUUCUAUGUAUGAGUGCAAAGAAAGAACCACUAAGAUGCGUGCUAAGCGAGAGUGGCUUGUAAAAGCGUGUUCUUUUAGUUUUUUUGAAAAUAAUGAUGAAGAUCUUGAAGUGAUUGAUGUUACUCCUAUUGAAUCGUUGUUUUCUAAUAUAUAUCUUGAUAAAGAUGGGACUGGAGAUGAGUCAAAUCUAUAAUACCUAAAUAGUUCAUCUCCACUAAGCUAUUUCUCUCAACAUGCAGCCUAUCCACAAACACACUUGCCACAUCAACGUUUUGUUAGGGACUUACAUACAGGACCAAUCAAUGCAGCAACCCUGCCACAUAAGCCUUCAGUUACUGCUAAGGGCCCACUACAAUAUGUCCUCACGAGCACCCUUUCAUUCUGAUUCGGUGCUCUCGCAAGCCACACAAAACGUCCCCCUUCCCAUUCCACUUCCACUUCCUCCUUUAAUUCCCAACCCGUCCUCUGCCUCCACCGGUCUACCUUCUUGCCCCCCCAAACAAAUCUUCCUCCCUGAGACCUCCUAAUCUCGUGGCGUGACCAGCCACUGCUUGCAGCGCCGGCUGCUCCUGGCCGUGGUGGAGCUGGAUGGUGGUCUGGAGUUGUUCUUCCCCGGCCGUGCGGGAGUUGGAAGAUGGUGUGAGUGCCCUCGGUCGUGCAGGGCUUCGGUGUUCUGUGAUGUUACGUGCAUGAUGGCGAGGUGCUGCGGCGGCGGCGGUGUGAUACAUUACAGCCAACUGGCCUCAAUUCAUCGUGAUGGGUGGAGGUGGGCGAUGUUACGGAUGAAAAUCUUGCCCGUCUUCGGUCGGUGUUGGCGACGACGGCGCCUGCGGGUGUCGUUUCCCUCCUUGGAGGCGUCGUUACGGUGUGUCGGCAUCUCCCCCUUCUCCGGGCGAAAGCCUAGGUCUUGGACCGACGAUGGCGGCGUUUCGGCGUCGUUCCUCUGUUGAGAGCAUCACGCGUGGAGACUUGGCUUGAAGGCUUUGUGAUGCGGUUCUCCAGUGCGGGCCGCUGGUUCGAAUUGAGGUUCUUGGGCGCAAUGUACAUCAAUGCCGAUGAGUCCAAGACGGUGGCUUUCUCAGGACCAACCGAGUCCCGCCACCCACUCGCCAUCUCCUUUUCGGCAUUCAAGGGUGGAUGGUGCGUCGACAAGGGAUGUCCGGUUGAAGUUGUCACCUUUUUGAGGUGAUCGGUGUUGGUCGAGACGCGGCUUUGAUGAUCUGCUUAGGGCAGGCUCCUUUGCAUUGUGUUUGUAAUGUGUGCGAAGGCUUUUCUUCGGAUUAGCUCGGGUGUAUUGUGUGUUCUACAACCGUUGUUCGCAGCGAGUUGUAGCUUCUUGUAAUUGUCUUCUGCCUUAUGGUACGUCUUUGGCGUACUCUCGAAAAAAAAAAAGACCUCCUAAUCUCUCCCAUCCAGUCGCCGCUAGAACAUGUACCUACGCCCAACAGCCGGGUGACUGCUCGACUCCUUCCACCUGCCGGUCGAAGAGAUGAGAAGGAUAGGGCAUGUGGUAGCUAUCGCGCUGCCCCUGCCGGAGAAAUCGCCGGUGUUCUGCCUGAACGCGGGUGACAGAUGCCCGUGGUGCUGGUCCUCCGAGGGCCAGGCUGGUGGUGAGGCCGGGCAGGGCUCCGUUCAGAGCGACGGCUUGGAGGGGCGAUAGAUCCAUCUCCUCCCGCAGGUUCCGCCCCGGCUAAUUCACAGAACAUAUUAUACUACAGCAAUGGUGGAAUUGCUUUUCCAAGCUGCUGCUAAGAAGGACGAGCUAAAAUAAAUGCUUCAGUUUGGGUUGGCUUGAUUCAACCUGUUUCAAAAUGAUAUACGUCUUGAGGAUAUGAGAGGGAAGAAGCAUGAUGGUGUGCAUUAUGCAUCGCUACAGGACUUUGCUGCGAAGCCUGCUUCUUUCAGGUACGAUACUAGGUAUACACGGAAAAGUAGCUGCCAUGCAGCAGUAGCAGUCGCCAGCGGAGUAGCAUGGCCUUUCCCAUCUUGGUGAUCUGAACGAAUAUGUUUGCUUGAAACUUCUGUGGGUUAUAUACAAAAUUCUAGGAAUUCUAUAACCGCUGCA